GGCUGCUUCCCUGUGGAGUACAAGGGGCCACCCAAGAGUCAUCAGCUCCUCCUGGUGCUUGGAAAGUGCCCGCUACACAGAAUGAAACUCGAUCAUCAUGCUGUAGUCCAGGGGGAAGUGGGCUGUCCUGGCACAGGAAGGGGAGGGCACAGAGAAGGCAGAGUGGGAAGAGGAGACAGCUGGACACAGAACAUGUGGUGGCUGCUAUGAGAGCAUGCCUUCACCAUGCCCAGGAGAAAGAUGAGACCCAGGAAGGGUCAGGACAAAGGAACAAGCCAUUGAGAAGACACCCCUGGAAAAGAGGUUUGUCCCCUGCAGCACAGGUGGUACCUGGCCCUCAGCAGGUGCAGCCAUUUCUGAGUUGAGAGGCUUACAGAAUGGCUGGUUUUGAGUCUGCCCCCACUCUGGGAGUGAGCGGAUCUGAAGGUUCUUACUUCACUGACCUAAUCCCAGGUCCUCAGAAGCUUGGCAGGAAGCAAAGAGAGGGUCUUGCUAUGCAGUUCAGGCUGGCUUUGAGCUCAUUUUGUAACCCAGGCCAGUCUCCAACUUGCAAUGAUCCUCCUGCCUCAGCCUCCCAAGUCUUAUGCUUACAGAAUAGUCUGAAAUAACCCACGAAACUCACUGCCUGACGCAUGGACCACAGUGCCACAGCAGGAAGGACAGCAGGAUGACAAGGUCACGGGCACUGGCACCCACCCUCAGGUGCACGAUCUGACCCGCUCCCAGGUCUUGCUCCGGAGGAGGUGGGUACUCAUGGGCACCACUUGCAGUGGCCAGGCCCUCCCUGCACGAGGGAGCUCAUAGUGGACUCCCAUCGAGAUUCUCUUCAUCCAUCCUCCAUUAAUACUGCAGAGUACCCUAUGCUGCAAGCCCUUUCUUUGUUCAGUGGCAGGAACACUGGGUGAACUCAGGUGCCCCUGCAUGUGUCCUCACAGACACACGAACACACUCGGGCUCUUCCAGCCUUGGCAAACCUUUGUUGGGCCUAAAAUAUGAAUGGUUCUUAAGUUAGUGCUGCUCACCCUACACACACCUAUGGCUCACUGCUCUGAGUCCCCAACAGCACGGGACAGGGCAGUGACACAGGAAUCUUUCUGCUCCCACAUGCAGCUGUGGCUCCUUGCAUGCCCUUGAGUGACCGUUUCCUGACCAUGCAGUGCCCCUGUACAGACAGGGUAAUAUCUGGACUGCAAUGACCAGAAAUUCUCUCAUCCUCUUUUGCGCCUCCUCUCACAACCCUCUAAGGCGCCAGAGUUACUUCUAUUCUGUUUCUCACCGUGACCGUGUCUCCUUCCUUCCUCCCAUCUCUGACUACCCGUGUAUCCCCGGAAAGUCUCCCCGACUUCCUGCAGUGUGAUUAUGGAUUGAGAGGGGGUUUCUGUCGCUGGUGUGUGUGUGGUGCUUGGGCUCAUGUCUGGGUGUUUGCGCUGCUGUGCAUCUGUGUGUGCGUCUACCGUGGGUCUCUUUAUUCUCUCUCUCUGUCUCACGCACGCACUUGGCUCCCCUAAUAUGCUGAACGGGCCAUUACACCUCUUGCAUGCAGGGCUGGGGGUAGAUGGGGGGACAGAGGGAGGCAGCAGGAUUCUGUAAGAACAUUAAAUCCCAAAUAAAGUAGAAAAUAUUUUUAAAAUUACCGACUUCCCGUUUUCUCCGAAAUGGAGUGAAACGAGGCUGGUCCCGAGGCGGGGGCUCCGCAGGGCCAGCCACUGGAAAGGGGCAGUGCUUUAUUUUUUAUUUUUGUAAUAAGAGGAACUGAAUUAGAAAAAACGGGGAAGGAAGAGCAGAGUCAGAUUGUUAAAGGAUUCAAUGAGCUGUGGCCAAUGUAUUCGAAAGGUGCUUAAGGCAGCAGAGCCACUCACCAAACACACGCUUGCACACGCGCACAGAGUCACACAAAU